UUGCCCCUAGUGGUAGAAAUACAGACAUACCUGUUCUAGGUAUAGUUCUUAGUAGGCCAACUUAUUAGGUGGGGUUAGUCAGAAACCCCUGUACUGUAGUAGCUGUUCUGUUCCUGCGUUCCACCAUUAAAAAGACUUCGUCUCCACAUUCCCUCUGCUUGUUCUUUCCAACCCCAGAAUAUCACAACUGGCGACGAGGAUUUUUAAAGAUUUCCACAGCGUGACAGAGAUGAGCCUGUCGACAGACUUUGUGCGGAAGUAAGGGAAACAACCGUAUGUUUUUUUUUUUUCUCCGAAGCUACAAGAUUUAGCACCGAGAAGCUAAUAUGGCUAUGCACGUGGGUCGUGUGGUUGAAUAUGAUGAAUCGAAGGAAGAUUUUGAGUCAUAUUUGGAGCGUUUGGAACAAUGGAUGUUGGCUAAUGAUGUUCCGGAUGAGAAGAUUGUUUGCACUUUUCUCUCUGUGAUCGGAGCAGAUACAUAUGGGCUGCUAAAGAAUCUUGUGUCUCCGAAAGUACCGAGCACGAUGCAGUAUGCAGCGCUCACUGCAGCGUUACAAGCACACUAUAAGCCGACACCAGUGGUGAUAGCUGAGCGUUUUCGAUUCCAAAAACGUAACCAAAAGGAGGGGGAGCCAGUAUCAGGCUACGUGGUUGCCCUGAGGCAGUUGUCAGCCACAUGUAAUUUUGGACAAUACUUGGAUGAGGCGCUGAGAGAUCGUUUUGCCAGUGGGCUGCGCUCGGAUGCUGCACAGCGUAAGCUACUGGCAGAAAAAGAUCUUACCUUUUCACGUGCGUGUGAGAUUGCCGUGAACAUGGAACUUGCUUCAAAGAAUACUAUGGAGUUUUCUGGACACCAUGACCCUCACCAAGUCAAUGCCCUGACAAAUGUUCAAAUUUUUUCUAAGAGAGGAUGGAAGGGACAGCACUCAAAAGAGGGACAGAACUCAAAAGAGGAAAAACAUCAAAUUAAGAGCUGGAUGGGGUCUAAAAAAGAUACAGCAACAAGGCAACCAUGCUAUCGAUGUGGUGGAAAACAUUCAGCACGCGACUGCAGAUUUAGAAAUGAACAAUGUCAUGUUUGUGCAAAAAUAGGACACAUUGCUCGGGCUUGCAGAAAUAAAAAAAGCAGACAACAAACUCAGUAUGUGGAAACGGACAUCGAGGCAUCAAACAGAAAUGAUGAAGCCGAACUUUUUGGAGUUUAUUCGGUGUACUCUGUCGCUUCCAGUGAAAAAGGUUACACAGUGGACGUUUUACUGGGAGACAAAAACACCACCAUGUUGCUGGACACAGGAUCAGCAGUAUCAGUGAUAAGUGACAAGUAUUACCAGUCACAUCUCACCCAGUUCCCUAUAAAACCAGUUGGGUUAAAGUUGAAGUCUUACUCAGGCCAAAGCAUCGCUGUUCGUGGAUGUAUAGUUGUACCAGUACAGUAUGAAACACAAAAGAGUACUUUACCACUGAUCAUUGUUCAGGGAAACAGGCCGUCCCUGAUUGGACGAAACUGGUUAAAGAAACUACAGCUAAACUGGAAACAGAUUUUCACAGUACACAAGGUACUAGUGCAAAAAGAUGCAAAACCAGGAUUACAGAAAGUGAUCCUACGCCAUCAGGCAGUGUUUUCAGAUGACCAAGGCUGCAUCAAGGGAUUUAAGGCCAGGAUUCGCAUUAAGCCAAACACUGCACCAGUUUUCUGUAAAGCUCGCCCAGUUCCUUAUGCACUAAAGGAAGCGGUAGAAAAAGAGUUGGACAGAUUGGAAAAGGUGAAGGUGAUUUCAAAGGUCGAGAAAAGUGAGUGGGCGUCUCCCAUUGUUACAGUGCCUAAAACUGACAAAACCAUUAGGAUCUGUGGUGACUACAAGGUCAGCAUAAAUCAGUGCAUUGAAGAGAAACAUUAUCCACUGCCUAAUGCUGAAGACCUUUUUGCUACUUUGGCGGGAGGAACAUCAUUCAGUAAACUGGACCUUUCUCAUGCCUACCAGCAGCUGGAGUUAGAUGAAGAGUCAGAGAAGUAUCUGGUUAUCAACACCCACAAAGGUCUGUACAAGUACAGUCGCCUCAGCUAUGGCGUUUCCAGUGCUCCUGCUAUUUUUCAGUCUGUGAUGGAUCAGAUUUUCCAAGGGAUGGAUCACGUGACCUGUUUUCUGGAUGAUAUUCUCAUCACUGCGUCAUCGGAGAAGGAACAUCUACAGAGGUUGGAAGAAGUUCUCACACGCCUGGAGAAGCAUGGUGUGAGAGUUAAGCUUGCAAAGUGUCGUUUCCUUCAGAGCAGUGUGGAAUAUUUGGGACACAGGAUCGACAAAGAUGGACUGCACCCCAUGGAGGAAAAGGUUGCAGCCAUAACAAAGGCACCAGAACCAACCAAUGUCACUGAACUGAAGUCUUUUUUGGGUCUUCUGAAUUACUACAGUCGAUUUCUAAACAAUCCAUCUACCAUCCUUCAGCCUCUCCACAACCUGUUGAGAAAAGAUGAAACAUGGAUUUGGACAACAGCAUGUACACAAGCAUUUGAAGAUGCAAAAAGACUACUGCUGCAGAACAAAGUGUUAGUGCAUUAUAGCACACGCCUGCCAUUGAAAUUAGCCUGUGAUGCAUCACCUUAUGGGGUUGGUGCAGUCAUUUCUCAUAUCUUGGAAAAUGGAGAGGAAAGGCCGGUGGCAUUUGCAUCAAGAACGCUAACCGAUGCUGAGCGGAAGUAUGCCCAAAUAGAGAAAGAGGCUCUUGCCAUCAUUUUUGGAGUCAAGAAAUUCCACAAAUAUCUGUACGGAAGGAAAUUCACGCUCGUAACAGAUCACAAGCCAUUGUUGACUAUACUGGGACCAAAGUCAGCGGUGCCAACACUUGCUGCUUUGAGGAUGCAACGCUGGGCUCUUAUUCUGAUGGCAUAUAACUAUGACAUUGAGUACAGAAGAUCAGCUGACCAUGCAAAUGCGGAUGCGUUGUCACGUUUACCGCGGAACUCACCAGAUAACACUGCAGAAGAAGGAAGCAUCUUCUACUUCUCUCAUGUGGAAGAACUACCAGUAUUAGCAAAAGACAUUGAGAAAGCGACUAUGAAAGAUCCGCUUCUCAGCAGAGUGUGGAGCUACACCAUGAAUGGGUGGCCAAAUUAUGUGCAGGAUGAAACACUUGAACCUUAUUUCAUUCGCAGACAGGAACUGUCAGCAGAACAAGGAUGUGUUCUUUGGGGACAACGUGUUAUCAUCCCACCAAGUUACCGACAGAAAGUGCUGAAAGACCUGCAUCAUGAACAUCCAGGCAUAUGUCGUAUGAAAGCUCUCGCCCGCAGUUACCUGUGGUGGCCAGGGUGUGACGGUGACAUACAAGAACUGGUCCAAAGCUGUCAAAUCUGUCAAGCUGUGCAGAAGUUACCAGCGGUUGCACCACUCCACCCGUGGAAAUGGCCUGAAAGACCGUGGCAACGGAUUCACAUUGACUUCGCUGAAAAGGACAAACACUAUUUCUUAGUGGUCAUUGACAGUCAUUCAAAAUGGUUGGAAGUAUUCCCGAUGACAUCCAUCACGUCACACAAUACCAUUGAAAUCUUGAGAAGGUUAUUCUCUUCAUAUGGACUUCCAGAAGAACUUGUUUCAGACAAUGGACCUCAGCUGGUGUCACAAGAAUUCCGCCAGUUUUUGGAGUUAAACGGGAUCCGUCACACAGCUGUUCCUGCAUAUCACCCUGCAUCAAAUGGAGCAGCAGAGAGGUCAGUACAAAUCCUGAAACGAUCUUUGAUGAAAAAUGUACUGGAGACAGAUGGGAAGGCCACAUUGCCACUCAGUCAUCGAUUGGCAAACUUCCUUAUCAUGUAUCGCAGUACACCGCACACCGUGACAGGUUGCACACCAGCAGAGCUAUUCCUGAAACGUCAGAUCCGAACCCGUUUCAGUCUUCUCAAACCUGAACUUGCCCAACACAUUAAACAGGGGCAGUUCAAGCAAAAGCGACAUCAUGAUCGCAGAGCUCCAUUUUUGCGCGUUUUUUCAGAAGGAGAGACUGGUCGUGUCCGAAAUUUCAGAGGAGGGUUUGUGAAGUGGACCUGUGGAACAGUUCUGAAGAAGUUGGGAAGCGUCACUUAUCGGAUACAAGACGGACAGAGAACGCGCACCAUACAUGUCGACCACAUGUUACCAUGGAAACAAGAUGUGGAGAAAUCUCCAGUUAUGUCUUCCCAAGUGCUCGUGGAGGAACCCGAAGAGAUCUACCCGAGAGGAACCCUGACAGCAUCACCUUUGCCUGCUGAAUCACCUGGGCAGACAACAGAAGAACCCUCGGUAUCAACCCCUAAAACAACCCAAAGCCCAUCAGCGGAGCGCAGAUACCCUGUGAGGCACAGAGUUCCUCCAAAGAGACUGAAUCUUUGAAAAUGUAUAAAGUAUGAUUUAGUUACUGCUAGUUGAUUUUUGAGGUAAUAAAGCAUUAAGUGCAGCCUAAAUUGUUAAAUUCUUAGUGAAGGCCAUAGGGAAUUUAUUUACUGUUAUUAUGCAUUUUUUCCUACAUAUUAGUUGCAGUAGAAAUCUAAAAGGGAAGGAAUGUAAUAGAGUGGUUUGUUGCCCCUAGUGGUAGAAAUACAGAUAUACCUGUUCUAGGUAUAGUUCUUAGUAGGCCAACUUAUUAGGUGGGGUUAGUCAGAAACCCCUGUACUGUAGUAGCUGUUCUGUUCCUGCGUUCCACCAUUAAAAAGACUUCGUCUCCACAUUCCCUCUGCUUGUUCUUUCCAACCCCAGAAUAUCACAGCCAGUAUGUCUACUUUUCUUUAGUUGCUCUAUUGUUAUUCAUUUGCCUUACUGUUUAUGUGCUUGUCUUUAGUCUUAGCUCCUUGUUUAGUUUCUUUUUUCUACCCAUGUUGUAAUGUUCUUUGUGCCUCAACGAGUCUUUGUAUACUGUUUGUUUAAUAAAUAAAAAAAAUAAAAAAAUUACAGACAAAAACCUACGAUACUGACAAAAAAAACAUGCUGGUGACGUAGACUGUGCGUCAUCAUUCACUCCAACUGUUAUUUCUCUCCAAAACUGUUUGAAUUUGUGGAGAGAAAUAAAAUGAUUGGUCCAGGUUCGGAACACAAUAUGGAGAACCGAACCAGAACCAAACCGGUGUUACACCGGCAUCCUAAGAUUUUUUUUUUUUAGCUCUUUACCAGCAGGGGGCGGAUCUGAUUUCCAGCUCUCCUUUCAGAAACCUUCGCGCGCCUUACAGUGAUCGAUGGAAACGUCACAGGCUUGUGGGAAACACGUGACCAUCAGCAGGAUUUUCUGCUCUUCUGACGUCUGUUACACGAUCAAAUUCAGAAUCUUCUGACUUCUUCGGCACUUUUUGUUCUGACGGCAGAAAUUCCGAGUCUCUGCUGCGCCUCAAACGCAGCAAAGCAACACCUUAGCUAGCCAAUCAGAGAGCAGUAGCAUGACCAGACCGGAAGAAAAGCUCUAUUCGAUCAUGAUCGAUGACCAGCUCGUUUGACCGUGUUUACCAGGGAAUAUUGUUCUGUAGCAAAAUCAGAACCUGAACCAGAACCGUAACUGACGGCCAGGGAGAACAUACUGGAUCAGUUCCAGGAAAAGAUCCGGUUCUUGUGCAGGAAUCAAUCCAGAGUUCACAGAGGAAUAAAAACUGAUAACAUCAGAGCAAAGGUCCAUUCAAUAAUCUGCUGGAAUAACGCGAACCUUUAACUCCAUCAUUUCUCUCUGGUCCAAAGUCUCCUGGUGGACCCGGGAGUCCAAACCCGCC